rnacentral:rRNA from 1 species
UACGGGGGGGGCAAGCGUUGUUCGGAAUCAUUGGGCGUAAAGCGCGCGUAGGCGGCCCUGUAAGUCCGUUGUGAAAGUCAAAGGCUCAACCUUUGAAAGCCGAUGGAUACUGCAGGGCUAGAGUCCGGAAGAGGCGAGUGGAAUUCCUGAUGUAGCGGUGGAAUGCGCAGAUAUCAGGAGGAACACCAAUAGCGAAGGCAGCUCGCUGGGACGGUACUGACGCUAAGGCGCGAAAGCGUGGGGAGCGAACAGG